rnacentral:tmRNA from 1 species
GGGGGCGUACCGGUUUCGACGGGGAUGAAGAAGCCCUGGUUGCGUGACCGUCGACCCAGAGACGACGAAAAAACCUUUGGGAACCAACAACUGCCAACGAUAACGCAGUCGCUCUCGCGGCCUAAUCCGCUGUAGCUAGAGCCGUCCCACUGCAGGAGUUCGCCGAUACUCCGCAACUGGGGCGUGGAUCAAAUCGGCUAGCCCUCUCCGCGUGAUCCGGGAGCUGGGCGAAACUUCAGGAUCACUCGCGAUGGAGCGAGCCUGUCCGUGGGCGCAACCCAUCGUCAAAUCAAAAUACGGACUACGCACGUAGACGCCAGAGCGGAACAUUUCCGGACGCGGGUUCGACUCCCGCCGCCUCCACCA